AUUGAACGCUGGCGGCAGGCCUAACACAUGCAAGUCGAGCGGAUGAAGGGAGCUUGCUCCUGGAUUCAGCGGCGGACGGGUGAGUAAUGCCUAGGAAUCUGCCUGGUAGUGGGGGAUAACGUCCGGAAACGGGCGCUAAUACCGGAUACGUCCUGCGGGAGAAAGUGGGGGAUCUUCGGACCUCACGCUAUCAGAUGAGCCUAGGUCGGAUUAGCUUGUUGGUGGGGUAAAGGCCUACCACGGCGACGAUCCGUAACUGGUCUGAGAGGAUGAUCAGUCACACUGGAACUGAGACACGGUCCAGACUCCUACGGGAGGCAGCAGUGGGGAAUAUUGGACAAUGGGCGAAAGCCUGAUCCAGCCAUGCCGCGUGUGUGAAGAAGGUCUUCGGAUUGUAAAGCACUUUACGUUGGGAGGAAGGGCAGUAAGUUAAUACCUUGCUGUUUUGACGUUACCAACAGAAUAAGCACCGGCUAACUUCGUG
rnacentral:rRNA from 1 species